rnacentral:lncRNA from 1 species
UCUGGGAUACUGGAAUAAGAGCAGACUGACCGUUGUGGGAGAUGAACUCAGGAUCCCUUAACAGAGAUUAGUCAGUCUGUUUUAACAACCUUUAGCCACUCCUUCCCGCUGGUAAUCUUCAGCCCUUUUUGUUAGCGUAUAGGAAGCACUCCCUGCCACCCUCCAUCUUUUCCUCAGUACUUGGGUCCUCAAACCACUUGGUACCCCAAGGAUAUAGGAGGGGCUUAUCCUGACCCUUCCCACAGGUGAGCUUCUGGUCCUUUGAUGCACUGAAUCGGUAUACUAGCUUGAUGCUAGCCUAACUUUCAAGGCUUCUCUGUAAGCUUCAUGAGGAGUUGUUUCGCUGAAGAUGUUAAGAAGAGGGUAAGGACUCCCCCUGGUUUCCCCUUCUACAUACAAAGGGCCAUAUUUUCUUAGAGGGAACCUCUUGGGGUCCAUGCGCUGGGCAUAGCAAGAGGUGAAAGUGGGUGGGCCAGAGGUUCAGAAACAUCAGGAGAGAGCACAACUCUGGCUCACCCUGCUGCUGCCCAGGACUGACCUGCCGGGAGCCUGAGGGCCCUAUCCUGCUUCUCUCCACUGUUGAUAUUUUCACCCCUCCCAUUGACAGAAUCUCCUGAUCUGAUGUUUUGAGAAAGGAGGGGGUGGAAACUGCUCUUCUACUCUUUCACUCCUGUCUGACUGCCUGACUCUGUGUGUGGAGAGAGUCUUAUCUAUGUAGUGACUAGAUGGCUGAGUGGGAGCUGUAACAUUCAUGCAAGCCAGUAGUUUGUUAGUUUGUAGUAAAAGGACCCCUGACCAUUAGGUCCAGUCGUGGCCGACUCUGGGGUUGCAGCGCUCAUCUCACUUUAUUGGCCAAGGGAGCCGGCGUACAGCUUCCGGGUCAUGGGCCCAGCAUGACUAAGCCGCUUCUGGCGAACCAGAGCAGCGCAUGGAAACACCGUUUACCUUCCCGCCGGAGCGGUACCUAAUUAUCUACUUGCACGGGUGUGCUUUCGAACUGCUAGGUUGGCAGGAGCAGGGACCGAACAAUGGGAGCUCACCCCGUCGCAGGGAUUUGAACCGCCAACCUUCUGAUCGGCAAGUCCUAGGCUCUGUGGUUUAACCCACAGCGCCACCCGCGUCCCUUCUAGUUUUUAGUAGCUAUUAGAAAUAAAAGGAGUUAUGCUUCACAGCUAGCUUCUGCGGUAUUUAUACUCUGCUGAGUCUGGUGCUCACAAUGCACAGUUGUGGGUCCAAUGCACUGGGACCUGCUUUCCAGGAUUGGAAGGUCUCCGAAACUGCUCCAGUUGCCUAGUCCAGUCCAGGCAGAACCAGUUAUUGAGCCCAGUCGCUGACAUCGGUUAAAAGGUGCACUGACAUCCACCUGGCCUGGGGCAGGACCAAGUUCCAUAAAGGACUACUGCUGCUGCUGCUGCUGGGCAGAGAGGGCUCCAUAUUUAAAAAUUGCUUUUAUUUUUAUCCAUGUCAUUUUAAAUUGUGAUUGAUAUUAAUGCCAUAUUCUUAGUUUUAGGUUUUAUUAUUUAUGUGGAAAUUGUUUUCCAUUUGGUUGUGUACCUUUUGAUGUGCUUUAUUUAUUGUUUAUGACCUUUGUUAUGUUUGUAAUUAUGUAAAUCUUGUCACAUUGUAAGCCACCUUGAGCAUCGUUUUCACUAUGGAAAGGCGGCAUACAAAUAAAAUGAUGAUGAUGAUGAUGAUGAUGGAUUAGGGGUGGCGCUGUGAGUUAAACCACAGAGCCUAGGGCUUGCCAGUCAGAAGGUAGGUGGUUCGAAUCCCUAUGAUGGGGUGAGCUCCCGUUGCUCGGUCCCUGCUCCUGCCAACUUAGCAGUUUGAAAGCACGUCAAAGUGCAAGUAGAUAAAUAGGUACCACUCCGGCGGGAAGGUAAACGGUGUUUCCGUGCGCUGCUCUGGUUCACCAGAAGUGGCUUAGUCAUGCUGGCCACAUGACCCGGAAGCUGUACGCCGGUUCCCUCGGCCAAUAAAGCAAGAUGAGCGCCGCAACCCCAGAGUCGGCCACGACUGGACCAAAUGGUCAGGGGUCCCUUUACUUUUUCUAUAAAUAAACUACAUCCUAAGAUUUUACUUUCUUGGGUUCCAUGAUCACUGCAGUCACGAAAUUAAAAGACACCUACUUCUUGGGAGAAAGGCUAUGACAAACCUAGACAGCAUCUUAAAAAGCAGAGACAUCACCUUGCCGACAAAGGUCCGUAUAGUUAAAUCUAUGGUUUUCCUAGUAGUGAUGUAUGGAAGUGAGAGCUGGACCAUAAAGAAGGCUGAUCGCCGAAGAAUGGAUGCUUUUGAAUUAUGGUGCUGGAGGAGACUCUUGAGAGUCCCAUGGACUGCAAGAAGAUCAAACCUCUCCAUUCUGAAGGAAAUCAGCCCUGAGUGCUCACUGGAAGGACAGAUCCUGAAGCUGAGGCUCCAAUACUUUGGCCACCUCAUGAGAAGAGAAGACUCCCUGGAAAAGACCCUGAUGUUGGGAAAGAUGGAGGGCACAAGGAGAAGGGGACGACAGAGGACGAGAUGGUGGGACAGUGUUCUCGAAGCUACCAGCAUGAGUUUGACCAAACUGUGGGAGGCAGUGGAAGACAGGAGUGCCUGGCAUGCUCUGGUCCAUGGGGUCACGAAGAGAUGGACACAACUCAUCGACUAAACGACAAAAUAAACAACGAAAUGAAAUUAAUUGGGGACUGUUGCCCCUAUGCUUAGAAGGGGGAAGAAAUGUUUAUGCUGGUUCACAAUGUACUUUGCUCAUUUUCUGGCCCCCCUCUCCGGAAACAGGAAGGCGGGUGAUCUCUAUGGCUACUAAAUCUGCAGGCCAGAGGGAGCCUGGUCUCCCUCGCGAGGCUGUUUCUUGCCCCUUUCCACUGAUUCCCUUUCCUUUCUGCUCUGCUGUUUUCCAUUUCUGCAGCUGUCCCCUCUUAAUUUGUCCUCUUUCCUGCAGGAAUUAAUUGCCUCAGCAGAGCAUAAAGAGAACACAAAUGUUUUGCAGCGAGAUAAACACAAACGUGCAAUUGAGUUACAGCCGAACCACCUUUUGACCGAGUCCUACUCAAAACAAUUUCAUUCUGAGUUCCUUGGAGUUUGUUUGCUGGGUUUUUUGUGUGUGUCUGAAAUAUACUCAGAGUCGCAAAGUGAUUUCAUGCUCUUUAUUCAGCUCAUAGUGGUGAGGAGGAAUGAAUGAAAGUUCCCUCAAAGUAUUUGCUUUAUAUAUUAUUUACACAAUGGGCUGCACAUGAUUGACUAAUUCCGGAAUUCUACUGUAAGCCAAUCAGGUUGUGGAUUCACUUCUAUCUGGAGCAUGAUUGGGUGGUUCCUGCCAACCAAUCAUACUGCUGCAUUUUGGGGCCUAUUGUUCUAGGACCAAUCAGACUGCUGCAGUUUGGAUCCUAUUCAACUCAGUACAUAACAGUGUCUAAGUGUGGAGGGUUCUCAUUGGUAUAAUUGGAGAUGGUAUGUAUGUAUGUAUGUAUGUAUCUGCACCAAUCUCCACGGAUGUCCUAUAUUUGCAUAACCUGUGGAAACAGAGCCAGCGAAUUCAGCCUAAUAAUUUCUUGUUUGAUCGUAGAAUUGUAGAGUUGGGAGGGGACCCCAGAGUCAUCUAGUCCAACCCCCUGAAAUGCAGAAAUCUCAAUGAGACUAUUUCCGUUAGGCAAUGAUUUUUCUUGCAUUUUUGCCAAUUCUAUAACUGUUGUCAAAAGUUUGUACACGGGAGUCAUCAAUAAAGUGAAUUACGAGUCAGCAUUGUGGCUAAGAGUGGCAGGGGGUCCCUGGUUCAACUCUCAAUAUUGAGCCCAGAGGUUGUGGUCAAUGUCAGCCUCCCAUCUGCAAUAUGGGAAUAAUUUAUCAAUUGAUUCAAUGCACAUGCCUUUGUUCUGCCCUACCCUACUCCCUACCUUGGGGAUAAGAAUACAGGAACUGUGCUAGGUCGGGGCAAAGGUUUACCAAGCCUGGCUUUCCAAGAUCAGAACCCCGCUCCUCCCCCUGCUUUUAGCCUUCCCACUCUGCCAACCCUGUUUCCAUAGCUGAAUGUGCUUUACUGUGGUAGGCUGUUGUCAGGAAUGAGCCAGCUCCCAGCGAAGAUUUGCAGCCAGUUGCAGAAAGCAGCCAGGAACAGAGAGACUUAGAUGUUAGUCAGAUAGGAGAGAGCCGGCAGCUGCAGUCUUCGGCUCUUCCUGACCUUGACGAAUUGGCUGAUAAGGCAGUAGAUGAGAGCAGGCGGGAACACAGCCAAAGCUCACAGGAACAUGUUGGAGCUGAUCCACUCAGUCCUAAGAGUGGGUAAAUGGGAGGGCUGUUAGACAGGAAUCAAAACAAGAGACGUAAGAGUCGGAAGAUCAUUUUCUUCUGUCAUGGCCGGAAGGGGUCUUCAGAAUGGUCAUCUUGAGUAAUGAUGCUGGAGGCUUUGUCAGAGCCGUCCGAAGCUAUCUAUUUGUUUUUGCAAUAAAUCCUCCUUUUUAAUUACCUACGCUUACCGUGUUAUCAAGCCGGGAACCUAGACUCCUGACAGCUGUGGACAUGGGGUGACUAAAAAGCUUGAAUGCAUGGAAUGGAGACAGCGGAUAGAGAAAAGUUUUUUUCUCCCUCUCUCAUAACACUCAGACUUGGGUUUUUUUUAAUAACUUUUUUAUUCAAAAUUAAAACAAAACAUAUUGUCCAGAAACAUAUCAUCCUUAUUUCCCCCCCAUUUUUCCUCCCUCCCCCUCCCUUCCCCCACAAAACCCACCCACCCUCACCCCCGACUUCCCUCAGUUCCAGUCUUUGAUUUCUCUAAAAAUGCUGCUUUCUGCAUGUUACACAGUUGUAUAGAUCCUCAAACUAUUUAGCUGAUUGUUAUCAAUAAAAAGUUUGUGAAUGUUUAUUAAAAACCAGCCAAGGAGUCCAGUUCGCUUUGUUGUGUCUUCAGAUACUUUGUAAAGGGUUCCCAUUCAUCUUUAAAGUCACAGUUAUCCUUGUCCCGUAGCUUGUAUGUCAGUUUUGCCAGUUCUGCACAGUCCAUCAAUUUUUCUUGCCAUGAUUCUUUAGUGGGGGUUUCUUCAGUCUUCCAUCCUUGCGCCAUUAAAACUCUCGUGGCCGUUGUUGCAUACAUGAAGAUGUUUUCCAGCUUUUUUGGCAGAUCUUUCCCUACAAUCCCUAAUAAAAAUGCUUCAGGUUUUUUUAAACAAAUGUUAAAUGGAACAUUUUCUUCAAUUCGUUGUAUAUCAUUUCCCAAAUUUUUUUAAUUACCUUACAAUCCCACCACAUAUGAUAAAAUGUCCCC